AAACGUACAAUCUCACGAACCCUCUCCUCCCUCCUUCUCCAGACGCACCAGCCACCGUGACCGUCGCCGGCGCUGCCCGUCCGGUCAGUUCUCCCCUCUCCCUUCUCCUCCUCUUUCGUUUUCCUCCUCUCCUUACUUGGUUUUUCUGUUUUGCGUGCGACAGCCGCCAGCCACCGCAGCGUCGCCGCCCAGCUUUCAUUGUUGUGCCGCCGCGUUCUUCGUCCACACCAGCCAACGCCCUCCUUCUUGUUCUCCCUCUCGCUCGCCGGAACUCCUCCUCUUCAUUCUUCCUAUCCCGCAAGCUCAAGGCAGUCGCAGUCGUAGCCACCACCGCUGCGCCACCAGCCAGCCGUGUCUGUCAGCGACCUACUAUUCUCUGCUUCUGUCGUCUCUGACCGCCGGCCAACCACCCUUUUGUCUCUCUUUUUGGUAUCAACGCAACUCAUGAGGAGUAUAUGAUGCAAUUGAGAUUUAUACCAUGAUGAUAAUUAAGGAUUAAGCCUAUUGGAUGUUUGAAUGAGGUAACUAUUAUGUCCAACAAUUAUUAUUUAUGUCCGUACAAUAUUUUUAAGGUGUAAUUUUUAUGUCCAGCGUUUAUGUUUAUGCCCGUAUGUGUUUAAAUGUGUGCUUAUAUGACUAUUAUGUGAUUAUUACGUGUUUUAAGUGAUGAUACCAUGAUGUAUAAUUUAAAGUAUUAUGAGCAUGAUUAUGUAUUAUGUUAUGAUGUUAAAGGCGUUGUUCGGGAAUAAUGAUGAUAUUUAUAAAGUUAUUUUAAAGAAAUACGAUGUUGCUUUUGUCGGCAUGGAAAAGUGAACUGAACUAGUAAAUGGGCGAGUCACAGGUGGAGGCAAGUUAAAGUUAAAGUUUGGGAAACAGUUCCCCCCCUGAAAUGAUGUAAGAAAAGUCCCGCCAAAACCUGUACUUGCCAAUGAGCUGUAAAGGAAAUGAUUCCUUGCCGACACAGUUUUCAAGAUAACGAGAUAAAGUUAGUUGUUUCCGAACAAUAAAUGCUAAUGAUUGAUAUGUGCCAAAUGAUUUUCAAAAUAAAUCCGUUUUGACGGGCUGGAGUAAUAUUACUGAGUUUUCCACUCAUUUUUGUAUUUUCUGUGUUUUUUCCUGUUUUCUAUUUUUAUGACGGUGUACAGGUUCGAUUAAGGAGUUCAAGUUGCUCAAGUCAAAGUUAUUACUGGAGUUGGUAGUUUAUUAUGGGGAUAUCGAGAUGAGAAUUAUUUAUUAUGGAAAUCCUGUUACUGAGUUGUUAUAAGAAUAUUGAUUUAUAUUUAUUUUUGGGAAAUUUGCAUUAUUUAUGGAAUGUUAUUUGAGGAUUAUUUUAAUUGUGGGCCCAUACCCACAGGUCCCAGGAUUAUUUUAUGUUUAUUUUCGCUGCCAAUGAUCAGUUAAGUAAGGUUUAUUACCGCUAAUUAAGGAGCCGAAAAGUCGGGGCGUUACAUUACACAAGUCUCUAAGGAUCAAUAAGCAUUGUCCAUCUGCAGGUUUGAAGAUGAUGCAUCAUUGGGAUCGAGAUUAGAGAGCUUGUAUUUAGUUUUGAUUUGCUAACUUGACUUGUGUUUGUUUAAUUGGACUUUAAACUUGAACUGCUACAUUGA